UUUAAGCUAUGAAGAGAAAAAUCAGCAGAGGAACGAUGCCUCCAAAGUUGGGUAAACCUGAAAAAGCAGAUGCUUUGAAGCAGUUAGGGACUCAUGUGGCCCUCUUUGGGGUUUGGGUUGCCGUAAUUCGAAUCACCCCUUACAUCCUUCAUUAUCUUUCUGAUCAGAAAGAAGAACCCGUGCUCAAGCUCUAGAUUCCUAAUCAGUUUCUGUAGAGGAAGGAAUGUUUGAAAGGAAGGAGCACAGUGUUGUCUAUGCAUCUGUUGACCCCUUACUCUAAUUCAUUUCUGUCUCUAUAUUUCAUUUUCGUUUGCCCCUAUGGUUCUGAAAUUUGUCACCCUAAUUAUGCAAGAUAUUUGUUGUGGAAAGUCUCUAAGUUUUUAAGUUCUAUAGACACCUAAGUUAUGUGUGAACUUGAUGCCUUUCACAUCUCUGCCAGUAAACCUUGUUCUCAUGUUACUGAAUGCAUAGAUGAUCCCAUAAAUGAGGGAGGAUGAAUUAAGAAGCUGCUAUUCAAUGUUGUUCUAUCUAUACUUAUACCAGUACAAAUAUAGCCACUACUUCGUCUGUGGUUAUGUUUUUUGGUUA